rnacentral:rRNA from 1 species
GCUUACGGCCAUACCAACCUGGCUUAUGCCCGAUCUCGUCUGCUCUCCGGAAGCUAAGCAGGUUUGGGCCUGGUUAGUACUUGGAUGGGAGACCGCCUGGGAAUACCAGGUGCUGUAAGCU